rnacentral:rRNA from 1 species
GAAAGAUUCAUCGGAAGAGGAUGGGCAUGCGGCGCAUUAGCUAGACGGCGGGGUAACGGCCCACCGUGGCGACGAUGCGUAGGGGUUCUGAGAGGAAGGUCCCCCACACUGGUACUGAGACACGGACCAGACUCCUACGGGAGGCAGCAGCGAGGAAUAUUGGUCAAUGGGAGAGAUCCUGAACCAGCCAAGCCGCGUGAGGGAAGACGGCCCUAUGGGUUGUAAACCUCUUUUGUCGGAGAACAAAACCCGGGACGUGUCCCGGACUGCGUGUAUCCGAAGAAAAAGCAUCGGCUAACUCCGUGCCAGCAGCCGCGGUAAUACGGAGGAUGCGAGCGUUAUCCGGAUUUAUUGGGUUUAAAGGGUGCGUAGGCGGUCCGUUAAGUCAGCGGUAAAAUUGCGGGGCUCAACCCCGUCGAGCCGUUGAAACUGGCAGACUUGAGUUGGCGAGAAGUACGCGGAAUGCGCGGUGUAGCGGUGAAAUGCAUAGAUAUCGCGCAGAACUCCGAUUGCGAAGGCAGCGUACCGGCGCCAGACUGACGCUGAGGCACGAAAGCGUGGGGAUCGAACAGGAUUAGAUACCCUGGUAGUCCACGCAGUAAACGAUGAAUGCUGGUUGUCCGGGUCGAAUGAGAUCUGG